rnacentral:rRNA from 1 species
GAGUAACACGUGGGUGAUCUGCCCUGCACUUCGGGAUAAGUCUGGGAAACUGGGUCUAAUACCGGAUAGGACGAUGGUUUGGAUGCCAUUGUGGAAAGUUUUCGGUGUGGGAUGAGCUCGCGGCCUAUCAGCUUGUUGGUGAGGUAAUGGCUCACCAAGGCGACGACGGGUAGCCGGCCUGAGAGGGUGACCGGCCACACUGGGACUGAGACACGGCCCAG